UUCCAGACUCCUACGGGAGGCAGCAGUAGGGAAUUUUCGUCAAUGGGCGCAAGCCUGAACGAGCAAUGCCGCGUGAACGAGGAAGGUCUUCGGAUCGUAAAGUUCUGUUGACGGGGAAAAAAGACCGGGAAAGGAAAUGAUCCCGGAGGACAUAUUACCCGUCGAGGAAGUCACGGCUAACUACGUGCCAGCAGCCGCGGUAAUACGUAGGUGGCAAGCGUUAUCCGGAUUUACUGGGUGUAAAGGGCGUGUAGGCGGGACUGCAAGUCAGAUGUGAAACCCAUGGGCUCAACCCAUGGCCUGCAUUUGAAACUGUAGUUCUUGAGUGAUGGAGAGGCAGGCGGAAUUCCGUGUGUAGCGGUGAAAUGCGUAGAUAUACGGAGGAACACCAGUGGCGAAGGCGGCCUGCUGGACAUUAACUGACGCUGAGGCGCGAAAGCGUGGGGAGCAAACAGGAUUAGAUACCCCAGUAAUC
rnacentral:rRNA from 1 species